rnacentral:rRNA from 1 species
UACGUAGGUGGCAAUCGUUGUCCGGAAUUAUUGGGCGUAAAGCGCGGGCAGGCGGUCUCUUAAGGCUGAUGUGAAAGCCCACGGCUCAACCGUGGAGGGUCAUUGGAAACUGGGGGACUUGAGUACUGGAGAGGAGAGUGGAAUUUCAUGUGUCGCGGUGAAAUGCGUAGAUAUAUGGAGGAACACCAGUGGCGAAGGCGGCUCUCUGGCCAGUAACUGACGCUGAGGCGCGAAAGCGUGGGGAGCAAACAGG